rnacentral:misc_RNA from 1 species
GUACCCUCAAGCUUUGCUUGGUGUUGGGUGUUUGUCUACGCAUUUGUGUAGACUCGCCUUAAAUCAAUUGGCAGCCGGCAUGUUAGCCUGGAGCGCAGCACAUUUUGCGCACCUUGUUAGCUAUUGUUGGCCCCCAUCAAGACUAUAUAUUUGC